rnacentral:lncRNA from 1 species
UGUGUGUGUGGGUGGGUGGGUAGAUAGAGAGAGAGAAAGAGGGGAGGGGAAGAGGAGAGAGAGAUCACUUGUUGGGAUUGCUAUUAGGACAGCAAGGAAUAAUGCUAUCACAGCCAUGAAAACAAUACUUCGGUUUGCCAUGGAUGGGCUCUAGCAGAUAAUGUUUCACUAGAACCAGAAUGCCUUGGGUGUCUGUGGAUGUACAAAUACUCAUCUCCUUAUAUAG